rnacentral:rRNA from 1 species
ACGCGAGGAACCUUACCCGGGCUUGAACUGCAGAGGAAGGAUCUAGAGAUAGUGACGCCCUUCGGGGCCUCUGUGGAGGUGCUGCAUGGUUGUCGUCAGCUCGUGCCGUGAGGUGUCGGCUUAAGUGCCAUAACGAGCGCAACCCCUUUCGCCAGUUGCCAUCAGGUGAUGCUGGGCACUCCGGCGACACUGCCACCGCAAGGUGUGAGGAAGGUGGGGAUGACGUCAAAUCAGCACGGCCCUUACGUCCGGGGCUACACACGUGUUACAAUGGGUGGUACAGAGAGUCAGGUGCCGGCAACGUCGCCUCAGUCAAUAAAGCCAUCCUCAGUUCGGAUUGGGGUCUGCAACCCGACCCCAUGAAGCUGGAUUCGCUAGUAAUCGCGCAUCAGCCAUGGCGCGGUGAAUGCGUUCCCGGGUCUUGUACACACCG